rnacentral:rRNA from 1 species
UUGACUGAGCGGCGGACGGGUGAGUAACGCGUGGGUAACCUGCCUCAUACAGGGGGAUAACAGUUAGAAAUGACUGCUAAUACCGCAUAAGACCACGGUACCGCAUGGUACAGUGGUAAAAACUCCGGUGGUAUGAGAUGGACCCGCGUCUGAUUAGGUAGUUGGUGGGGUAACGGCCUACCAAGCCGACGAUCGGUAGCCGACCUGAGAGGGUGACCGGCCCCAUUGGGACUGAGACACGGCCCAG